GACAGAGGCCUCAAGCGUUAGGCGGAAUCACUGGGCUUAAAGCGUGUGUAGGCGGAUCGUUAAGUGUCUUGUGAAAUCCCACGGCUCACCCGUGGAACUGCUGGGCAUACUGGCGAUCUUGGGCCAACUAGGGCAACUGGAACAAGCGGUGGAGCGGUGAAAUGCGUAGAUAUCGGGAAGAACACCCGUGGCGAAGGCGGCUCACUGGCCCGGUACUGACGC
rnacentral:rRNA from 1 species